AGUAAAUGAACUCACAUCUCAUAGCACGUGAACCCAAAAAUCUGGCAGCAGUGUCUGAACGGAUUGAAACCCUAGAGACUCGCGCCAACGAGCACGUGUUCCUAAGAGAGGUGCAGUGUACAUGUGCAUUUCCUCACCGGUCUUGGCGACCAUCGUUGGGGAUACAUGUCGCUGUCUGUGGAGAAAGAGACUGGCUUUACAUCUGACCCACAAUUUAUACAUAGCGGGGAAUAGAUGUCCCCAGAUUGUAUUUGUACCAUAUUGUGGCAGACUCCAAAUCAAGCGGUCUCUUAUCUGUUAUCAAUGUUAAUAUUUUGUUGUACUAAUAAAAUAUUAUCAGAAAUC
rnacentral:misc_RNA from 1 species